rnacentral:rRNA from 1 species
GAAAUGCGAUAAGUAAUGUGAAUUGCAGAAUUCAGUGAAUCAUCGAAUCUUUGAACGCACCUUGCGCCCUCUGGUAUUCCGGAGGGCAUGCCUGUUUGAGUGUCAUUAAAUUCUCAACUUCAAUAGUUUUUAACAAAUUUAUUGAAGCUUUGGAUGUGGAGGCUUUGCUGGCAUCUCAGAUGUUCGGCUCCUCUUAAAUGCAUUAGUGGAACCCAUUUUGUUGGCUAUCCUUGGUUGUGAUAAUUAUCUACGCUUUGGAUUAGUUCGACAGCUUUAAUUGAACUUUUUCAUUUCAACGUUAUUGUUGGUUGGGGUUUUGCAUUUUAUUUGCUUUACCUGGUUCAUUAGAGUAAUAAGGGAAUCUGACCGCUUUCGAAUCGUCUGUGUAUGCGGACAAUUAAUUGACUAUUUGACCUCAAAUCAGGUAGGACUACCCGCUGAACUUAA